UACAGAGGGUGCGAGCGUUGUCCGGAAUUACUGGGCGUAAAGGGCGCGUAGGCGGCCUGAUAAGUCGGGGGUGAAAGUCAGCGGCUCAACCGCUGGACUGCCUUCGAGACUGUCGGGCUUGAGCAUGGUAGAGGCUGGCGGAAUUCCCGGUGUAGCGGUGGAAUGCGUAGAGAUCGGGAAGAACAUCGGUGGCGAAGGCGGCCAGCUGGGCCAUUGCUGACGCUGAUGCGCGACAGCGUGGGGAGCAAACAGG
rnacentral:rRNA from 1 species